UGGGGAAUAUUGGACAAUGGGCGAAAGCCUGAUCCAGCAAUGCCGCGUGUGUGAAGAAGGCCUGCGGGUUGUAAAGCACUUUUAUCGGGAAAGAAAAGCUUGGAGCCAGUACCUCCAAGCCCUGACGGUACCCGUUGAAUAAGCACCGGCUAACUCCGUGCCAGCAGCCGCGGUAAUACGGAGGGUGCAAGCGUUAAUCGGAAUUACUGGGCGUAAAGCGAGUGUAGGUGGUUACAUAAGUCGGAUGUGAAAGCCCUGGGCUUAACCUGGGAAUUGCAUUCGAUACUGUGUAACUAGAGUCUGAUAGAGGGAAGUGGAAUUCCAGGUGUAGCGGUGAAAUGCGUAGAUAUCUGGAGGAACAUCAGUGGCGAAGGCGGCUUCCUGGAUCAAGACUGACACUGAGGCUCGAAAGCGUGGGGAGCAAA
rnacentral:rRNA from 1 species